GAUGAACGCUGGCGGCGUGCCUAAUACAUGCAAGUCGAGCGAACAGACGAGGAGCUUGCUCCCCUGACGUUAGCGGCGGACGGGUGAGUAACACGUGGAUAACCUACCUAUAAGACUGGGAUAACUUCGGGAAACCGGAGCUAAUACCGGAUAAUAUAUUGAACCGCAUGGUUCAAUAGUGAAAGACGGUUUUGCUGUCACUUAUAGAUGGAUCCGCGCCGCAUUAGCUAGUUGGUAAGGUAACGGCUUACCAAGGCGACGAUGCGUAGCCGACCUGAGAGGGUGAUCGGCCACACUGGAACUGAGACACGGUCCAGACUCCUACGGGAGGCAGCAGUAGGGAAUCUUCCGCAAUGGGCGAAAGCCUGACGGAGCAACGCCGCGUGAGUGAUGAAGGUCUUCGGAUCUUGAAACUCUGUUAUUAGGGAAGAACAAAUGUGUAAGUAACUAUGCACGUCUUGACGGUACCUAAUCAGAAAGCCACGGCUAACUACGUG
rnacentral:rRNA from 1 species